AGGGAAUCUUCCGCAAUGGGCGAAAGCCUGACGGAGCAACGCCGCGUGAGUGAUGAAGGUCUUCGGAUCGUAAAACUCUGUUAUUAGGGAAGAACAUAUGUGUAAGUAACUGUGCACAUCUUGACGGUACCUAAUCAGAAAGCCACGGCUAACUACGUGCCAGCAGCCGCGGUAAUACGUAGGUGGCAAGCGUUAUCCGGAAUUAUUGGGCGUAAAGCGCGCGUAGGCGGUUUUUUAAGUCUGAUGUGAAAGCCCACGGCUCAACCGUGGAGGGUCAUUGGAAACUGGAAAACUUGAGUGCAGAAGAGGAAAGUGGAAUUCCAUGUGUAGCGGUGAAAUGCGCAGAGAUAUGGAGGAACACCAGUGGCGAAGGCGACUUUCUGGUCUGUAACUGACGCUGAUGUGCGAAAGCGUGGGGAUCAAACAGGAUUAGAUACCCUGGUAGUCCACGCCGUAAACGAUGAGUGCUAAGUGUUGGGGGGGUUCCGCCCCUUAGUGCUGCAGCUAACGCAUUAAGCACUCCGCCUGGGGAGUACGACCGCAAGGUUG
rnacentral:rRNA from 1 species